rnacentral:lncRNA from 1 species
UUAAAUUUUUAGCACAUAUAUCUCACAAUUUAUUUAGUAACAAAUAAUGUACUACCAUGUGUACCGAUUACAUUAAAAAAUCUCUCCUCAUACACAAUGUUCGUUCAAGAAUUCCCCGACAGCUACAAGCAAAAUUUUGUUGCACACGAAAAAAGGCUUGGACGUAUGAAGAAAACAUAUUAUGGAAACGGAAACCACGGGAAAAUGCCAUUAACAGAUGACUUGAGGAAAAUUAAACAAGAAGGAGAUUACAAGAGUGGUCUACUACAAGGGCAAAAUAAGCAAAACACCGUUCCUAGCUACCACUUUAUGCAAAAAGACACUAUCGGUAACACUAGCUACUACAAGGGAAAAAUAAGCAAAAUACUGUUCCUUGGUAUAACUUUAUGUUACAGACACUGACGUAGCAAGAAACAUCAAAAACCAAAGAGGGUUUGGAGUUUUGGGAGCCACCCAUGCUGCUUCAAAAUCAUGAUCAGCGAUUCUUGGUCUUGAACUUCGACUCGUCAAUCUUGAUGCCUUCCUCAGCAGCACGCUCUCCUCCGGGCUUGUCAGUGGUGCUCAGCCCGCCCUUCUUUCCCAUCUCAUGGUACCCCUCUUCCCCUAUCUGUCCCUUCCUCGUCUGCCCUCCACGGCUCCGCCCUAAUCACCACACACAAAAAUUCAGACUGAGUAACUAAAAUGUCGAAACUUACCUUCACCUGGAAUGCAACGGUAGCAGUAUUAAAUAAGGAUUUAUAUACAUACACACAUAUAUAACCCUUAUCACUCACUACCACAUAAAUUACCAUAUUUUGUUUACUUUCAGGUCUCGAGAUGCUGCUACCCUUGCAUAUAACAUAAUAUGUGCAUGAAAAGUUCUCUCUCGCGGCAGAAGUGGAAAGACGAGUAAUUUAAUGAAUUAGUUACCUUCAGCAAGGUGCUCCUGUGCUUCAAGGCUAUGGCCACCAGUACCACCGGGCACGAUGGUCUCUCCCCGCCUUGCCUUCUCGUCCAGCUCAUUUCUCUUCUGGGGGUCUUGUUUUUCCUGUUCCGACGCCAUUUCUUAAUUUCCAACCUCUAGUUGUUCUCACAAAGUUUGAUGCAAUGAAGUAAACACUCUUUUUGGUAUUCGUUGCUGUUUGGAGGGAAAUCAGGGUUAUAUAGAGGGAGGGUUGGAAGGUGAAUGAGGAGGCAGAGAGAGGAGGAUGUGUCAUGUGAUGGGGCGAACGUGGCUGAUGGGGGGCUCUAGAGGUUUGGGGUAAUGCCACGCAUCUGCUUUGCUCUGUCAAAACGGUUGUUUGACUUGCAGUAAGAAGGACACGAGUCCAUUGCUCAACUCGGUCGCACCGUUGCCAAGGAGAUGAUCAUAUCAGCCUCAUGCAUAUCCACUACCCACCUUAAGAACAAGGUAUUAAAUAUCGGUAAUAUCGGAAAUAUCGGUAGUCCGAAAACACGGAAAUAUCGAUGGAAAUAUCGGGAAAAUAUCGAUAUCGAUAAAAAUUACAUGGAAACCACGGAAAUUGUAAGAAAAACUUGGAAAUUUUUAUUGAAACUUUGCAGGAUGUUUAUUUAGUCAAUUAUCUAUUAGUUUAUCACAAA